GCUAUGGAGAGCAUUUAUGUUCGAAAGUGCAUUUUACGUUCAUAUGCGUUUAAAAAACAAUUUCUAAAUCAGUCUGGAACUAAGUUCAACUUUGAAAAUGGAAAAGCCAACCAGCUACCUUUUUGUAAUGAUGUGCGAGAAAAGCAAUGAACCCCAAGACCACCACUACUCUGACAGCGAGAGCCAGAUGGGGCCUGGGACCACCAAGGUCUUCAUACGCCACAGGAACAAUGACGUAUUUUUCUGCUGACGUUGAGUUGUGUUCCACUUCGGUCUUUGCCAUGUGCUGGGUAAUCAGUAAGUUUGAUGUGUCGGUGGCGUCCGGUUAGAGUCGUUGUGUGAUGAGGUACAUGGAUUGAAGAAGCGU